rnacentral:rRNA from 1 species
GUAGGUGGCAAGCGUUGUCCGGAAUUAUUGGGCGUAAAGCGCGCGCAGGCGGUUCUUUAAGUCUGAUGUGAAAGCCCACGGCUCAACCGUGGAGGGUCAUUGGAAACUGGAGAACUUGAGUACAGAAGAGGAAAGCGGAAUUCCACGUGUAGCGGUGAAAUGCGUAGAGAUGUGGAGGAACACCAGUGGCGAAGGCGGCUUUCUGGUCUGUAACUGACGCUGAGGCGCGAAAGCGUGGGGAGCAAACAGGGAUUAGAUACCCUGGUAGUCCAUGCCGUAAACGAUGAGUGCUAAGUGUUAGGGGGUUUCCGCCCCCCUUAGUGCUGCAGCUAACGCAUUAAGCACUCCGCCUGGGAGUACGGCCGCAAGGCUG